GUGGUGAAAACGGUUAACACACUUGGCUAAUAACCAAAAGGUUGGAGGUUUGAGUCCACCC
rnacentral:tRNA from 1 species